AACCCUACACACACAGACACACUGCAGGCAGAGCGUGCGUCCAGCCUACAAAGGGAGCUGCACAUUCGUCCCGGCUCCGGCACCGCACGUGGGGUGGCUGCAGGCAGAGGGGUGACCCUCGGGGUGCCCCCAGCCCCCCACCCGUCCUUCUCCCCCAUCUUGCACCCAUCCGGCUCUGGCAGAAGCGCAGCGAUCCUGUACACAACUUUUUCAAACUGCCAGGCAGAAGAAUCCCAGUCCUUCCAAGGGAGUGUCGGUAAAUCAUCAUUACAUCCGACAACGCAACCAGAGGGAUUAACCCUUUGCUCGGCCUCAGGAGAACAACAACAACAACAACAACAACAACAGCAACAAAUUCAACGAUGAAAAUGACAAAAGCUGCUCCUGUCUACGUGAAAAGGAGGACAGGCAGGCUGCGGGCUGUGAUUUUUUCACUAUACGUGGAUACAGAUAGACAGAGACCUUUGUGCGCGCGCGUGUGCAGCGAGCACAUGAAGAACAUGCCACCACGCACCCGUCUGCCUCUCGGAACGUGCCUCAGCCCUCCCCAUAGCUCUCCCACUUUUUGGAGGACCACAAUACUGCUCUCCAGUGCAGAUGUGCCUCCCACCCCCCCAAGGAUCUCUCCUCUGGACUUAGAGAGAAGAGGAAAAGGCAGAUUUUGAGAAAUGAAAAUUAUUUAAGGAUGUCCCCGCUGCCUCUCUCUGCUGCCCUCCUCUGUAACACCGAAGCAUUUGCAGAAAGUAAUACAACGUAAAUAAAUAAUAAAAAGAAACUCUUCGGCCAGAAGAGCUGCAGAGGAGGAACCGAGGAUCCUUUCCGGGCUGUGAGGAGCGAGAGAGGAAGACUCCGUGGAGAAAGGUCCCAGUGUGGGGAAGGCUGCUGAUGGAGAUCGCUGCGGGGCUGCAAACCCUGUGUCCAAAGCAGCUCAGACCUACAGCACCGGCACAGCUGGGCCCCACAUUACAAGCCUCAGGGUUUCUCCUGCGCUGGAAGCCAGCGGGUGCCUGCCAGGCUCAGGGGUCCCCACAAAGCCUGGGUCCCCCCGAAUUCAGCAGGUAAUCCUUUCCCGGUGUGCA